AGAGUUUGAUCCUGGCUCAGGAUGAACGCUAGCGGCAGGCUUAAUACAUGCAAGUCGAGGGGCAGCAGCUUUGUAGCAAUACAGAGGCUGGCGACCGGCAAACGGGUGCGGAACACGUACACAACCUUCCUUUAAGUGGGGAAUAGCCCAGAGAAAUUUGGAUUAAUACCCCGUAACAUUAUGAUGUGGCAUCACAUUAUAAUUAUAGCUCCGGCGCUUAAUGAUGGGUGUGCGGCUGAUUAGGUAGUUGGCGGGGUAACGGCCCACCAAGCCUGCGAUCAGUAACUGGUGUGAGAGCACGACCAGUCACACGGGCACUGAGACACGGGCCCGACUCCUACGGGAGGCAGCAGUAAGGAAUAUUGGGCAAUGGAGGCAACUCUGACCCAGCCAUGCCGCGUGAAGGAUGAAGGCCCUCUGGGUUGUAAACUUCUUUUAUAUGGGACGAAAAAGGGCCUUUCCAGGUCAACUGACGGUACCAUUUGAAUAAGCACCGGCUAACUCCGUGCCAGCAGCCGCGGUAAUACGGAGGGUGCAAGCGUUAUCCGGAUUCACUGGGUUUAAAGGGUGCGUAGGUGGGUUGGUAAGUCAGUGGUGAAAUCCCCGAGCUUAACUUGGGAACUGCCAUUGAUACUAUCAGUCUUGAAUAUUGUGGAGGUCAGCGGAAUAUGUCAUGUAGCGGUGAAAUGCUUAGAUAUGACAUAGAACACCAAUUGCGAAGGCAGCUGACUACGCAUAUAUUGACACUGAGGCACGAAAGCGUGGGGAUCAAACAGGAUUAGAUACCCUAGUAGUCC
rnacentral:rRNA from 1 species